rnacentral:rRNA from 1 species
AUUUGACCCAACGCGGGAAAACUCACCAGGUCAGGACACGGUAAGGAUUGACGGACUGAAGGCUCUUUCUCGAUUCCGUGGAAAGUGGUGCAUGGCCGUUUUUGGUUGGUGGAUCGAUCCGUCUGGUUAAUUCCGUUAACGAACGAGACCUCGGCACUCCGAAUAGCGCGGCGGACGUCGCGGCCUCCGGGCCGUCUUCCGCACGAGCUUCUUAGAGGGACCGUCCCCCGCCGGGGAAGGAGGUGCGAGGCAACGACAGGUCUGUGAUGCCCUUAGAUGUUCUGGGCCGCACGCGCAUUACACUGACGCGUCCAACGGGUGACUCCCGACCCGAAGGGGCCGGGGAAUCCGCAAGGCGCGUCGUGAUGGGGAUUGAACGUUGCAAUUGUUGUUCACGAACGAGGAAUUCCUAGUAGGCGCGGGUCAUCAACCCGCGCCGAUUACGUCCCUGCCCUUUGUACAC